UCGUGGUGACGUGGGCGGUUCGCUGCCUUCGACGUUGCGAGAAGUCCACUGAACCUUAUCAUUUAGAGGAAGGAGAAGUCGUAACAAGGUUUCCGUAGGUGAACCUGCGGAAGGAUCAUUGCCGAAACCUGCCAAGCAGUUUGACUUGAGAACUUGUGCCAAAAUACCAAUGCAAUCUCGUUGUGGUUGUGCUUUUGGGUGCGACCAUGAUGAACAACAAACCCCCGGCGCGGUAUGCGCCAAGGAUUACUAAACUGAGAUUGCUGCCUUGCCCUGCUCCGUUCGCGGUUCUGCGGGCAUUGUUAGCAUCUUUAUAAACAAUAUGACUCUCGGCAACGGAUAUCUCGGCUCUCGCAUCGAUGAAGAACGUAGCGAAAUGCGAUACUUGGUGUGAAUUGCAGAAUCCCGUGAACCAUCGAGUCUUUGAACGCAAGUUGCGCCCAAGGCCAUCAGGCUUAGGGCACGUCUGCCUGGGUGUCACGUGACGUGUCGCUCCCUUCUAGAUUUGGGGAGGAGCGGAUCAUGUCCUCCCGUGCCUAUUGUAUGGUGCGGUGGGACCAAAUGCUUGAUACUGUUGAUGGACGUUCUGGCGAUUGGUGGUUGUGCCUAGAGUGCAAACGUCGUUCCACGUUCAAUCGUUUGCGGAUAUCAGACCCUUUCGAGUCAAAGUGAUUUGGCUUACGAAGUGCGAUCCCAGGUCAGGCGGGACUACCCGCUGAGUUUAAGCAUAUCAAUAAGC
rnacentral:rRNA from 1 species